rnacentral:rRNA from 1 species
UACGAGGGGGGCAAGCGUUGUUCGGAAUUAUUGGGCGUAAAGGGUGCGUAGGCGGUGCGGUAAGUCUGUUGUGAAAUUUCCGGGCUCAACUCGGAGUCUGCAUCAGAAACUGCCGUGCUGGAGUGUGGGAGAGGUGAGUGGAAUUCCCGGUGUAGCGGUGAAAUGCGUAGAGAUCGGGAGGAACACCUGCGGCGAAAGCGGCUCACUGGACCACAACUGACGCUGAGGCGCGAAAGCUAGGGGAGCAAACAGG